UAGAGGGUUAGGAGGGAGAACUUCACAAAAAUCUGAGGUCAAGGAGGUGUCACCUGAGCCUUUUGAUGAGAGGCAGGGGACUGUCUGGUUAUGUGCAGACUUUGGAGUCAGAUGACCUCAGACCUCAGUUUGGAUCUCAGCUCUGCCAUUUCCUUGCUGUGUGAUUAUGGGUAGCACACCUAACUUUUCUGGGACCCAAUUCUCUUGCCUACAAAAUUGAGAUGAUAAUACCUAUUUUAUAAAAGGAAAUGAUUGAAAGCAGAUGGAAUCAGAUAGUAUAUGAUAGAUAAUAUAUGAAAGUGUUUAGCACGGGCAGCACACACUGAGUGGUAGCUAAGUGGUAGUGACUUCAUCACUGUUAGCUGUUCUCUUUUUCCACUAGAAGAAGAAAAAAAAACCUUCCUUGUAACAAAAGACUCUAGCUGAGGCUUGUCACCAGGUAGCUGAGGCUUGUCACCGGGUGAUAUGGAUGUUGAGUCACUGGAUGUUGGUGAUGGGCUCAAGUCUCGUGACUCAAAGUAUGAUCCUGGGGCUGGCAGCAUCAGCAUGUUGGAAAUGCAGAAUCUCAUCUUCCACCCCGUGCACACUGAUUAAGAAUCUGCUUUUCCAUGAACAAAAUGCCCACGUGCUCAUUAGAUUGCAAGGUUCUGGACUGGGGCACGCUGGGAGAGUCCUUCUGUGGUCACUCCAGUAGCUUCUCCCCUUCUUUCCUGUGCUAACAGGCAUCUGCCUGCAGACAGGUAGGCACUGUGUAAUCAGCGGUGUACAGAACAGUGAGGAUUCCAGGUUGAACCCAGACCAGGGCGGUGAUGAGCUUUGGCACCAGCAGGACUGCAGUCUGAUGAACUUCCCCUUUCUGCCCAGCAGAUGGUGAGCAUGUGCUGCUGCUGCCUCUUUCUGAAGGUCGUUGAAUUACAUGACAGGUAUUCUUUACUUUAUGAAUGAAGCCAAAGCAGCCCACCUUUCUGCAUCUCUACCAUCAUGGCACCAUGCCCUGUGAUGGAUGGGCUGCAGUCGAAUAUGUAGCAGCCUUCUUCAUGGGAAUGCUUAAUUCUUCGGUCCAUGUCUUCAUGUACCUGUAUUAUGGACUGGCCAGGCUGUGGCCUCUUAUGUGGCCCUACCUCUGGUGGAAACGAUGUCUUACCACCCUACAGCUGGGUCAGUUUGUGGCCACUGCUGUCUUCCUACAGUUUCCUCAUCGAGUACCCCUUCCCUGAUGAGUUCAACGUGUCUGUGCUCCUGUAAGCCCUCAGCCUCCUCAUUCUGUUCCUCAACUUCUACCACGGGACACGCCUGAGGGGCAAGCAAGAGAGGCUGAGCUAGGAGCAGGACCCAGGGACUGAAACCAGCACAGCAUCCCCAGGGAGAAUUGGGUGGAAGGUAGCAUGGCUUCCAGCUUACUGGUGCUGAGCAGAUUUCUCUGGGUCUCCAUCGUAUCCUCUGAAGGAAGAAGGAGGACUGACUUCUGUCCAGAUCUCAGGAUCAAAGAAAUAUAUCCAACGUCCUGUGGUCACUUGAGUCAGAGCACUUCUCAUGUGGCUUUGUAGCUUUGUGUGCAUCUCCUUCCUCUAUGAGACCUAAGCCCCUCACGGGAGGGCCUCUCUUAUUCUCGAUGUUCCCCAUACCUGGUACAGCAUCUCAAUAAAUGUGUGUUUGGAUCCUUGGA